UUGGGUGGAGAAGCAGAAUUGUUUUUCGAAAAGUGUUCGUACGGAAAAAGAUUCAGAGUAACUGUGAUACAUCACGGUUGCGCUAAUUUUGAUCAAGAUGAGAUCGAUGCUCCGUGUAUGAGACAGUUUUUAACGCGUUGUCCUGAUUUAAAGAUCUAAAAAGGUGAUUGUCGGCGAUUUGUUUUUUUUUUUUGACAGGGAGAGAUAGAAAGAAGCUUCUUAAAACUUCGAGUGUAAUUUAACACACGUUUGAAAGGUACGAGCAAAAAUUCUUAUCAUCCAACUAUCGCGGAACGGCAGCGUUAUUAUCUGACCGAUUAACUGAAAAAUAUAUGUUCAGUGAAAGGCUGACCAUCGAAGGGCCGAGCCGCUUGAAUCAGCAGGAACGAUGACCUGGCCGAAAUCCUCAGUCUCGAAACAACCGCGCAGUAGAGCGGACGUAUGAGAAUCGCGCUCCGCAGAUUUCGAGUACUGGGUUCUCUACCUCCUGGAUCCUGCACUCUGGGUCUGCUUCCUGGUGUCUCUCCAAUUCCAGGACAAGUGCUCCGUAGUUUCUGCGCUCCAAGUCCGCUACCUGGUGAAACUGUACUUCCAGGACGAGCACUUCAUGGUUCCUGCGCUCCAGAUCCGCUGCCUGGUGAAACUCGACUUCAGGACCAAGAGGUGGAGGAAGAGGAGGAGUAUAACCCGAAGUGGUUAUCAGUGGUUAAUGGAGGUGUUAGACAGUGGUUGGAGGUGGUAGGAGGUGGACGAGGAGGAGGACGAGAAAGACCAGGAGAACAAGGUGGAUGAGGAAGACGAGGGAUUUGUACUCGGU